AUUGAACGCUGGCGGCAGGCCUAACACAUGCAAGUCGAACGAGUGGCGGACGGGUGAGUAAUGUCUGGGAAACUGCCUGAUGGAGGGGGAUAACUACUGGAAACGGUAGCUAAUACCGCAUAACAUCAGAUGUGCCCAGAUGGGAUUAGCUAGUGGGGGGGGUAACGGCUCACCAAGGCGACGAUCCCUAGCUGGUCUGAGCGGAUGACCAGACAAUGUGGAACGGAGACACGGCCCAGACUCCGACGGGAGGCAGCAGUGGGGAAGAUGGCACAAUGGGCGCAAGCCUGAGGCAGCCAUGCCGCGUGUAUGAAGAAGGCCUUCGGGUUGUAAAGUACUUUCAGCGGGGAGGCGUUACCCGCAGAAGAAGCACCGGCUAACUCCGUGCCAGCCGCCGCGGUAAUUC
rnacentral:rRNA from 1 species